rnacentral:rRNA from 1 species
GACGAACGCUGGCGGCGUGCUUAACACAUGCAAGUCGAACGGAAAGGCCCUGCUUUUGUGGGGUGCUCGAGUGGCGAACGGGUGAGUAACACGUGAGUAACCUGCCCUUGACUUUGGGAUAACUUCAGGAAACUGGGGCUAAUACCGGAUAGGAGCUCCUGCUGCAUGGUGGGGGUUGGAAAGUUUCGGCGGUUGGGGAUGGACUCGCGGCUUAUCAGCUUGUUGGUGGGGUAGUGGCUUACCAAGGCUUUGACGGGUAGCCGGCCUGAGAGGGUGACCGGCCACAUUGGGAUUGGGAUACGGCCCAGACUCCUCCGGGAGGCAGCAGUGGGGAAUAUUGCACAAUGGGCGGAAGCCUGAUGCAGCAACGCCGCGUGCGGGAUGACGGCCUUCGGGUUGUAAACCGAUUUCGCCUGUGACGAAGCGUGAGUGACGGUAAUGGGUAAAGAAGCACCGGCUAACUACGUG